rnacentral:rRNA from 1 species
UCAGUUCGGAUUGCAGGCUGCAACUCGCCUGCAUGAAGCUGGAAUUGCUAGUAAUCGCGGAUCAGCAAGCCGCGGUGAAUACGUUCCCGGGCCUUGUACACACCGCCCGUCACACCAUGAGAGUCGGGAACACCCGAAGUCCGUAGUCUAACCGCAAGGGGGGCGCGGCCGAAGGUGGGUCCGGUAAUUGGGGUGAAGUCGUAACAAGGUACC